UACGGAGGAUGCGAGCGUUAUCCGGAUUUAUUGGGUUUAAAGGGUGCGUAGGCGGGAUGCCAAGUCAGCGGUAAAAAUGCGGUGCUCAACGCCGUCGAGCCGUUGAAACUGGCGUUCUUGAGUGGGCGAGAAGUAUGCGGAAUGCGUGGUGUAGCGGUGAAAUGCAUAGAUAUCACGCAGAACUCCGAUUGCGAAGGCAGCAUACCGGCGCCCUACUGACGCUGAGGCACGAAAGUGUGGGGAGCAAACAGG
rnacentral:rRNA from 1 species